rnacentral:tRNA from 1 species
AGUCUUAUAGUCAAUAAUGAUAUAAAAUUGCAAAUUUUAAGGAGUAAAUUAUAAAUACUAAGGCU